GGCUAACAGCUCAGUCUACAGUAGAGCAUGAGACCCUUAAUCUCAAGGUCGUGGGUUUGAGCCCCACAUUGGCCA